rnacentral:rRNA from 1 species
UACGUAGGUGGCAAGCGUUAUCCGGAUUUACUGGGUGUAAAGGGCGCGUAGGCGGGAGUGCAAGUCAGAUGUGAAAACCACGGGCUCAACCUGUGGCCUGCAUUUGAAACUGUACUUCUUGAGUACUGGAGAGGCAGACGGAAUUCCUAGUGUAGCGGUGAAAUGCGUAGAUAUUAGGGGGAACACCAGUGGCGAAGGCGGUCUGCUGGACAGCAACUGACGCUGAGGCGCGAAAGCGUGGGGAGCAAACAGG